rnacentral:rRNA from 1 species
UACGUAGGUGGCGAGCGUUGUCCGGAUUUACUGGGCGUAAAGAGCGCGCAGGCGGUCGUACAAGUCGCGUGCGAAAGCCCCCGGCUUAACUGGGGAGGGUCACGCGAUACUGUUCGACUCGAAGGCAGGAGAGGGAAGCGGAAUUCCCGGUGUAGUGGUGAAAUGCGUAGAUAUCGGGAGGAACACCAGUGGCGAAGGCGGCUCCUGGCCUGUUCUUGACGCUGAGGCGCGAAGGCGUGGGGAGCGAACGGGAUUAGAAACCCUGAGUACGUACCGA